UGGGGAAUUUUGGACAAUGGGCGAAAGCCUGAUCCAGCAAUGCCGCGUGUGUGAAGAAGGCCUUCGGGUUGUAAAGCACUUUUGUCCGGAAAGAAAUCCUUGGCUCUAAUACAGUCGGGGGAUGACGGUACCGGAAGAAUAAGCACCGGCUAACUACGUGCCAGCAGCCGCGGUAAUACGUAGGGUGCAAGCGUUAAUCGGAAUUACUGGGCGUAAAGCGUGCGCAGGCGGUUUGCUAAGACCGAUGUGAAAUCCCCGGGCUCAACCUGGGAACUGCAUUGGUGACUGGCAGGCUAGAGUAUGGCAGAGGGGGGUAGAAUUCCACGUGUAGCAGUGAAAUGCGUAGAGAUGUGGAGGAAUACCGAUGGCGAAGGCAGCCCCCUGGGCCAAUACUGACGCUCAUGCACGAAAGCGUGGGGAGCAAACAGGAUUAGAUACCCUGGUAGUCCACGCCCUAAACGAUGUCAACUAGUUGUGGGGAUUCAUUUCCUUAGUAACGUAGCUAAUGCGUGAAGUUGACCGCCUGGGGAGUACGGUCGCAAGAUUAAAACUCAAAUGAAUUGACGGGGUCAUAGCUGUUUCCU
rnacentral:rRNA from 1 species